rnacentral:rRNA from 1 species
GUGUCGUGAGAUGUUGGGUUAAGUCCCGCAACGAGCGCAACCCUUGACUUUAGUUGCCAGCAUUGAGUUGGGCACUCUAGAGUGACUGCCGGUGACAAACCGGAGGAAGGCGGGGAUGACGUCAAAUCAUCAUGCCCCUUAUGACCUGGGCUACACACGUACUACAAUGGCCGGUACAACGGGAAGCGAAGCCGCGAGGUGGAGCCAAUCCUUAGAAGCCGGUCUCAGUUCGGAUUGCAGGCUGCAACUCGCCUGCAUGAAGUCGGAAUUGCUAGUAAUCGCGGAUCAGCAUGCCGCGGUGAAUACGUUCCCGGGUCUUGUACACACCGCCCGUCACACCACGAGAGUUUACAACACCCGAAGUCGGUGGGGUAACCGCAAGGGGCCAGCCGCCGAAGG